CAGCAGUAGCCACGGUAACACGUAGGGUGCAAGCGUUAAUCGGAAUUACUGGGCGUAAAGCGUGCGCAGGCGGUUAUAUAAGACAGAUGUGAAAUCCCCGGGCUCAACCUGGGAACUGCAUUUGUGACUGUAUAGCUAGAGUACGGCAGAGGGGGAUGGAAUUCCGCGUGUAGCAGUGAAAUGCGUAGAUAUGCGGAGGAACACCGAUGGCGAAGGCAAUCCCCUGGGCCUGUACUGACGCUCAUGCACGAAAGCGUGGGGAGCAAACAGGAUUAGAUACCCGUGUAGUCCCUGUCUCUUAUAC
rnacentral:rRNA from 1 species